rnacentral:misc_RNA from 1 species
AACGCACAUUGCGCCCGCCAGUACUCUGGCGGGCAUGCCUGUCUGAGCGUCAUUUCAACCCUCGGGACCCCGUUCGCGGGACCCGGCGUUGGGGAUCAGCUCCUGUAAUAGGGAGCUGGCCCUGAAAUCUAGUGGCGGUCCGCCAGCGAUCUCCUCUGUGCAGUAGUUAAUACCUCGCAGCUGGAUAGCGGUCGGGCCACGCCGUAAAACCCCCAAAUUUCUAAGGUUGACCUCAGAUCAGGUAGGAAUACCCGCUGAACUUAA